AUAUUUAUUUUCUCUGGUUUCUUACAGGGCUGGGCCAUACAGUAUGUACUCAAGAUUUAGUAGUUAAUUGACUGAUAGAACUUUAUACUCUUACAUCCCUCCUCUUCCUAGGCUAGGACACAGCUCAGUAUUCAAUGCUCUCUACAAUCUGCCCCAACUACUUUGUCCAGAUUUACCUUUCCCUAAGCAUGUCAUAUGCCUCAUUCUCCAAA
rnacentral:lncRNA from 1 species